AAGUCGUAACAAGGUUUCCGUAGGUGAACCUGCGGAAGGAUCAUUCACAAACGAGUGUUUUAUGGCACUCUUUAAAAAUCCAUAUCCACCUUGUGUGCAAUGUUUGUUGGGAAAGUCUUUUCUUUCCCUUCAUAAAUAUCAACCUAUAUCUUUAACAACAUUCGUCUGAUAACAUAUUAUGAAUAUACUUAAUUCAAAAUAUAACUUUCAACAACGGAUCUCUUGGCUCUCGCAUCGAUGAAGAACGCAGCGAAAUGCGAUACGUAAUGUGAAUUGCAGAAUUCAGUGAAUCAUCGAAUCUUUGAACGCAUAUUGCGCUCUUUGGUAUUCCGAAGAGCAUGCUUGUUUGAGUAUCAGUAAACACCUCAACCUCUCUUUUUUGAUAAAAAAAAGGGAGGGUGGACUUGAGCUAUCCCAACGACCUUCACCGGUAGGCGGGCGGCUUGAAAUGCAGGUGCAGCUGGACUUUUAUCUGAGCUAAAAGCAUAUCUAUUUAGUCCUCGUCAAACAGGAUUAUUACUUUUGCUGCAGCUAACAUAAAGGAUAAUUGUCCUCUUUGCUGACUGAUGCAGGAUUUUACGACACUUUAUGUGUUGUUCAACUCGAUCUCAAAUCAAGUAAGACUACCCGCUGAACUUAAGCAUAUCAAUAAGCGGAGGAAAAGAAACUAACAAGGAUUCCCCUAGUAACGGCGAGUGAAGCGGGAUGAGCUCAAAUUUGAAAUCUGGCUGGUUUACUAGUCCGAGUUGUAAUUUGUAGAGGAUGCUUUUGGUGAGGUACCUUCCGAGUUCCCUGGAACGGGACGCCAUAGAGGGUGAGAGCCCCGUCUGGUCGGAUACCGAUCCUCUGUAAAGCUCCUUCGAC
rnacentral:sRNA from 1 species